GGUAUUCUGAGGAGCAUGCCUGUUUGAGUGUCAUUAAAUUCUCAACCUUACUGGCUUUUUCAGCUGGUUUGGCUUGGAUGUGGGGAUGUUGCAGGCUUUCACAAGCCAGCUCCCCUGAAAUGCAUUAGCAGUACCCUUGUGGUAAACGGCUAUUGGUGUGAUAGCUAUCUACAUCAUUAGACGGUCCACCUCAUUAGGGUUGUGCUGCUUCUAACAGUCCUUUUGGACAAGUCUUUAUGACCAUCU
rnacentral:misc_RNA from 1 species